rnacentral:rRNA from 1 species
UGCAGUCGAGGGGCAGCACGGACUUCGGUCUGGUGGCGACCGGCGCACGGGUGCGUAACGCGUAUGCAACCUGCCUUAUACAGAGGGAUAGCCCAUGGAAACGUGGAUUAAUACCUCAUAGUAUUGUUUUUUCGCAUGAAGGAACGAUUAAAACUUCGGUGGUAUAAGAUGGGCAUGCGUAUGAUUAGGUAGUUGGUGAGGUAACGGCUCACCAAGCCGACGAUCAUUAGGGGUUCUGAGAGGAUUAUCCCCCACACUGGUACUGAGACACGGACCAGACUCCUACGGGAGGCAGCAGUGAGGAAUAUUGGUCAAUGGACGCGAGUCUGAACCAGCCAUCCCGCGUGCAGGAUGACGGCCCUAUGGGUUGUAAACUGCUUUUCUACGCCAAGAAACACUCCUACGUGUAGGAGAUUGACGGUAGCGUAGGAAUAAGCAUCGGCUAACUCCGUGCCAGCAGCCGCGGUAAUACGAAGGAUGCAAGCGUUAUCCGGAUUCAUUGGGUUUAAAGGGUGCGCAGGUGGGCUUGUAAGUCAGUGGUGAAAUACUGCCGCUUAACGGUAGAACUGCCAUUGAUACUGCAAGUCUUGAAUAUGGUUGAGGUAGGCGGAAUGUGUCGUGUAGCGGUGAAAUGCAUAGAUAUGACACAGAACGCCGAUUGCGAAGGCAGCUUACUAAGCCAUUAUUGACGCUGAGGCACGAAAGCGUGGGGAGCGAACAGGAUUAGAUACCCUGGUAGUCCACGCCGUA